rnacentral:rRNA from 1 species
UACAGGGGAUGCGAGUGUUAUUCGGAUUUAUUGGGCGUAAAGCGUCUGCAGGUUGAUAAUUAAGUCAUUUGUAACGUUUUUGAAGUCAAUUCAAAAUAGGCAAACGAAACUGUUUAUCUUGAGUAUGAUAGAGGUAAAAGGAAUUUUUGGUGGAGCGGUGAAAUGCGUAGAUAUCAGAAGGAACACCAAUUGCGAAGGCAUUUUACUGGGUUAUUACUGACACUCAUAGACGAAAGCUAAGGGAGCAAACAGG